AGUGAACGCUGGCGGUAGGCCUAAUACAUGCAAGUCGAACGGACGCACAGUAAGCUUUUGCCUUUACGGGUGGCGAGUGGCGGGCGGGUGAGGCAUACAUCGCCAUCUUCUUUUUCGUGGGGGAUCACGUAGGGCCACUUAUGCUACUACCGCAUAUGAUCUACCGCUUAAAGCAGUAGUUCUUCACACUUUGCGUGUCUCUAUGAGCUGAUUCCGGAUGAGCUAGUUGGGGGGGUAAAGGCACACCAAGGCGACGAUCCGUAGCUGAGCGGAGAGGAUGAUCGGCCACACUGGAACUGAGACACGGUCCAGACUCCUACGGGAGGCAGCAGUGGGGAAUAUUGGGCAAUGGGCGAAAGCCUGACGCAGCAACGCCGCGUGAGUGAAGAAGGCCUUCGGAUUGUAAAGCCCUGUUAUUAGGGAAGAAAAAAAGCGGAAGAAAACCCCGAUGUUUUGACGGUACCUAAUGAGAAAGCAACGGCUAACUACGUG
rnacentral:rRNA from 1 species